UACAGAGGUCCCAAGCGUUGUUCGGAUUCACUGGGCGUAAAGGGUGCGUAGGCGGUCGGGUAAGUCUGAUGUGAAAUCUCACAGCUUAACUGUGAAACUGCAUUGGAUACUAUCAGGCUAGAGGAAUGGAGGGGAGACUGGAAUACUUGGUGUAGCAGUGAAAUGCGUAGAUAUCAAGUGGAACACCAGUGGCGAAGGCGAGUCUCUGGACAUUACCUGACGCUGAGGCACGAAAGCCAGGGGAGCAAACGGG
rnacentral:rRNA from 1 species